rnacentral:rRNA from 1 species
GCUAAAUACUACCUAGUGACCGAUAGCGUAUAGUACCGUGAGGGAAAGGUGAAAAGAACCCCGGGAGGGGAGUGAAAUAGAACCUGAAACCCUGCACUUACAAGCUGUGGAAGCACAUUUCUUGUGUGACCGCGUACUUUUUGUAGAACGGGCCAACGAGUUACGUUAAGUAGCAAGGUUAAGCACUUAAGGUGCGGAGCCGUAGCGAAAGCGAGUUUUAACUGAGCGUUCAGUUACUUGACGUAGACCCGAAACCGGGCGACCUACCCAUGAGCAGGAUGAAGCGAAAGUAAAAUUUCGUGGAGGUCCGAACCCACGAGCGUUGAAAAGCUCGGGGAUGACUUGUGGGUAGCGGUGAAAUUCCAAUCGAGCCCGGAGAUAGCUGGUUCUCCCCGAAAUAGCUUUAGGGCUAGCCUCAAGGUGAGAGAUACGGAGGUAGAGCACUGAAUGUCCUAGGGGGUAUUGCACCUACCGAAGACUAUCAAACUCCGAAUGCCGUCAUCUUAUACUUGGGAGUCAGACUGUGGGUGAUAAGAUUCAUAGUCGAAAGGGCAACAGCCCAGAUCGUCAGCUAAGGUCCCUAAAUGUAAGUUAAGUGGUAAAGGAUGUGGGAUUGCACAGACAACCAGGAUGUUGGCUUAGAAGCAGCCACUCAUUCAAAGAGUGCGUAAUAGCUCACUGGUCGAGUGAUCCUGCGCCGAAGAUUUCCGGGGCUAAAACUU